rnacentral:lncRNA from 1 species
UGCCCGCUGUUACUUCAAAUCGUUUAUUACCUCACCCAUUCUAGUAUUGAAUGGUUGUUUACCAAACUCCAUUUGUUUUCCAUCUUGUUUGGCGUCGACAUAGUUUGUAAUCCCUUGCUAAUUCUUGCAUUGAUUUGUCGUUCACCGAACUUCUUCUGUCUUCUGUCUUGUUCGUUGCCGACGUAGUUUGAAAGUUUCUGGUUGCCGCCAUGUCGAUUUGUCCUUAGGGACUAAAGAUUUUCGACAAGGGUUUUC